GAAAUGCGAUAAGUAGUGUGAAUUGCAGAAUUCAGUGAAUCAUCGAAUCUUUGAACGCACAUUGCGCCCUUUGGUAUUCCAAAGGGCAUACCUGUUCGAGCGUCAUUUGUACCCUCAAGCUUUGCUUGGUGUUGGGCGUCUUGUCUCUAGCUUUGCUGGAGACUCGCCUUAAAGUAAUUGGCAGCCGGCCUACUGGUUUCGGAGCGCAGCACAAGUCGCACUCUCUAUCAGCAAAGGUCUAGCAUCCAUUAAGCCUUUUUUUCAACUUUUGACCUCGGAUCAGGUAGGGAUACCCGCUGAACUUAAGC
rnacentral:misc_RNA from 1 species